rnacentral:rRNA from 1 species
AUUGAACGCUGGCGGCAGGCCUAACACAUGCAAGUCGAACGAGUAGCGGACGGGUGAGUAAUUUCUGGAGAACUGCCUGAUGGAGGGGGAUAAAUGCUGGAAACGGUAGCUAAUACCGCAUACCAUCGGAUGUGCCCGCAGUGGAUUAGCGAGGUGGUGGGGUAACGGCUCACCGAGGCGACGAUCCCUAGCUGGUUUGAGAGGAUGACCAGCCACACUGGAACUGAGACACGGUCCAGACUCCUACGGGAGGCAGCAGUGGGGAAUAUUGCACAAUGGGCGCAAGCCUGAUGCAGCCACGCCGCGUGUAUGAAGAAGGCCUUCGGGUCGUAAAGUACUUUCAGUGGGGAGGCGUUACCCGACCAAGAAGCACCGGCUAACUCCGUGCCAGCAGCCGCGGUAAUAC